rnacentral:rRNA from 1 species
UACGUAGGGCGCGAGCGUUGUCCGGAAUUAUUGGGCGUAAAGAGCUCGUAGGCGGCUUGUCACGUCGGGUGUGAAAGACCGGGGCUUAACUCCGGUUCUGCAUUCGAUACGGGCUAGCUAGAGUGUGGUAGGGGAGAUCGGAAUUCCUGGUGUAGCGGUGAAAUGCGCAGAUAUCAGGAGGAACACCGGUGGCGAAGGCGGCUCACUGGCCCGAUACUGACGCUGAGGUGCGAAAGCGUGGGGAGCAAACAGG